rnacentral:rRNA from 1 species
GCAAGCAGCCAUAUCACCCUGCAGCCCAAGACUGGUUGCCCACUGAAGCUAAGCAGGGCUGAGCCUGGUCAGCACCUGGAUGGGAGACCUCCUGGGAAAGCUAGGUUGCUGCUGGAA